rnacentral:snRNA from 1 species
GUUCUCACUUCUGUAGCAUAUAUGCUAAAAUUGGUAUGAUACAGAGAUCUUAGUACAACCCCUGUGUAAGAAUGACAUGCAAAUUCAUGAAGUGUUCCAUAUUUUU